UACAUUGUAAGUUACAGUUCGCAUUUAACAAAAAAAAUAUGGCAAUGCAUCUUGAGUUCGGGGAAUAACAAACCAUAGAUUCGAUAGUGAAUGGCACUCCAUUUUUAAUUUACCUGGUUAAGAUUACGAGACCCUAACACUUGGUCCUACUUGGUCUUUGUUCUGUGCGUAGACUGACGCUGUACGCCUUCUAUGUACGCUCAUAGAUGAAAACGUCGGUCUUACAUCUUCUACCUUCUUUAUUAAGAAAAAAUGACUUAUUACGUAGUCAUAAAUAUUUUGACAUAAAUAUGGUGGUGUCAAAAUUUUCAGUGGAUUUUUUGUACGAUGUUUGAAGUGAUUUUAUCAUUUUGUAACUGCGAUCCACCAGAAGAAAAACCGCUACAAAAUGACGUCCACUUAUUUCCGAGUGGUAACCACAUAUGGGGCAUGCUUGGGUUUAUAUUUGCCACUGUUAUAAGUUGGUGUAUCUACAAACAGUUUCAUAAUAUUGGAAGAGAAAUACCUCGAUGUCUGGCUCCUCCACAACCGGAAUACAACAAAUCAUCACAUGUCAGCCGCAGACACAGAGUUUCAUAACAUGAUUUAGGACAAAUUAAAAUCCUUUUAAUUUUUAA